AUUGAACGCUGGCGGCAGGCCUAACACAUGCAAGUCGAACGAGUGGCGGACGGGUGAGUAAUGUCUGGGAAACUGCCCGAUGGAGGGGGAUAACUACUGGAAACGGUAGCUAAUACCGCAUACCAUCGGAUGUGCCCAGAUGGGAUUAGCUAGUAGGUGGGGUAACGGCUCACCUAGGCGACGAUCCCUAGCUGGUCUGAGAGGAUGACCAGCCACACUGGAACGGAGACACGGUCCAGACUCCUACGGGAGGAGGCAGUGGGGAAUAUGGCACAAUGGGCGCAAGCCUGAGGAAGCCAGGUCGCGUGUAUGAAGAAGGCUUUCGGGUUUUAAAGUACUUUCAGCGGGGAGGCGGUACUCGCAGAAGAAGCACCGGCUAACUCCGUGCCAGCAGCCGCGGUAAUUC
rnacentral:rRNA from 1 species